rnacentral:rRNA from 1 species
CGGGGAAUAUUGCACAAUGGGCGAAAGCCUGAUGCAGCAACGCCGCGUGAGUGAUGAAGGUCUUCGGAUUGUAAAGCUCUGUCUUUUGGGACGAUAAUGACGGUACCAAAGGAGGAAGCCACGGCUAACUACGUGCCAGCAGCCGCGGUAAUACGUAGGUGGCGAGCGUUGUCCGGAUUUACUGAGCGUAAAGGGUGCGUAGGCGGAUGUUUAAGUGAGAUGUGAAAUACCCGGGCUUAACUUGGGUGCUGCAUUUCAAACUGGAUAUCUAGAGUGCAGGAGAGGAGAAUGGAAUUCCUAGUGUAGCGGUGAAAUGCGUAGAGAUUAGGAAGAACACCAGUGGCGAAGGCGAUUCUCUGGACUGUAACUGACGCUGAGGCACGAAAGCGUGGGUAGCAAACAGGAUUAGAUACCCUGGUAGUCCACGCCGUAAACGAUGAGUACUAGGUGUAGGAGGUAUCGACCCCUUCUGUGCCGCAGUAAACACAUUAAAGUAC